UUGACCCACAAAAACAAAACCUUGACCUCAAAUCGGGUGAGACUACCCGCUGAACUUAAGCAUAUCAAUAAGCGGAGGA
rnacentral:rRNA from 1 species